rnacentral:lncRNA from 7 species
CUACAGAGGAAACAGAAUGAAUGAGCUGCAUUAGGAAGAAGAGACGGCUAAGGACGUACCCAACACAUCAAUCUGCUGGGGCAGGAUGUUCCCUUCAUACACAAAAACUUCUUUCUAGGUUUUGGUGGCCGCUAAAACAGCUGACAAACUGCCGAAAAAGAGAAAAAAACUGGCAGCAUAAAUCUUCUCAGUAAAGUAUUUGUAGAUUAACAUGGUGAAUGCCGCCAUUUUUAUCAUUGGCAGAUUGAAAGGCGUUGGACAGUGCAGACUUGCUAAUAAAUGAACUUUUGCCAUGUGGUACAUAC